rnacentral:tRNA from 1 species
UAAAAGAUAAGCUAAGCUAAGCUAAUGGGUUCAUACCUCAUUUAUGGAAAUCACUCCUCUUUUUA